UAAGGAAUAUUGGUCAAUGGGCGCAAGCCUGAACCAGCCAUGCCGCGUGCAGGAUGACGGCCCUAUGGGUUGUAAACUGCUUUUGUACGGGAAAAAACCCCUUUACGUGUAGAGGGUUGAUGGUACCGUAAGAAUAAGGAUCGGCUAACUCCGUGCCAGCAGCCGCGGUAAUACGGAGGAUCCGAGCGUUAUCCGGAUUUAUUGGGUUUAAAGGGUGCGCAGGCGGAAUUAUAAGUCAGUGGUGAAAUCCUGCAGCUUAACUGCAGAACUGCCAUUGAUACUGUUAUUCUUGAGUAUAGUUGAAGUGGGCGGAAUGUGUCAUGUAGCGGUGAAAUGCUUAGAUAUGACACAGAACACCAAUUGCGAAGGCAGCUCACUAAGCUAUAACUGACGCUCAUGCACGAAAGCGUGGGGAUCAAACA
rnacentral:rRNA from 1 species